rnacentral:rRNA from 1 species
AUUGAACGCUGGCGGCAUGCCUUACACAUGCAAGUCGAACGGCAGCACGGGGCAACCUGGUGGCGAGUGGCGAACGGGUGAGUAAUGCAUCGGAACGUACCUUUCAGUGGGGGAUAACGUAGCGAAAGUUACGCUAAUACCGCAUAUUCUGUGAGCAGGAAAGCAGGGGAUCGCAAGACCUUGCGCUGAUUGAGCGGCCGAUGUCAGAUUAGCUAGUUGGUGAGGUAAAGGCUCACCAAGGCGACGAUCUGUAGCGGGUCUGAGAGGAUAAUCCGCCACACUGGAACUGAGACAAGGUCCAGACUCCUACGGGAGGCAGCAGAGGGGAAUUUUGGACAAGGGGGGCAGCCCUGAUCCAGCCAUGCCGCGUGAGUGAAGAAGGCCUUCGGGUUGUAAAGCUCUUUCGGCCGGGAAGAAAUCGCACGGGCUAAUACCCUGUGUGGAUGACGGUACCGGAAUAAGAAGCACCGGCUAACUACGUGCCAGCAGCCGCCGUAACAC